rnacentral:rRNA from 1 species
GGGGCGGCAGCUACACAUGCAGUCGAGCGGAUGAGGGGAGCUUGCUCCCUGAUUUAGCGGCGGACGGGUGAGUAAUGUAUAGGGAGCUGCCCGAUAGAGGGGGAUACCAGUUGGAAACGACUGUUAAUACCGCAUAAUGUCUACGGACCAAAGUGUGGGACCUUCGGGCCACAUGCUAUCGGAUGCACCUAUAUGGGAUUAGCUAGUUGGUGGGGUAACGGCUCACCAAGGCGACGAUCCCUAGCUGGUUUGAGAGGAUGAUCAGCCACACUGGAACUGAGACACGGUCCAGACUCCUACGGGAGGCAGCAGUGGGGAAUAUUGGACAAUGGGCGCAAGCCUGAUCCAGCCAUGCCGCGUGUGUGAAGAAGGCCUUCGGGUUGUAAAGCACUUUCAGCGAGGAGGAAGGGAUGUAUGUUAAUAGCAUGCAUUUUUGACGUUACUCGCAGAAGAAGCACCGGCUAACUCUGUGCCAGCAGCCGCGGUAAUACAGAGGGUGCAAGCGUUAAUCGGAAUUACUGGGCGUAAAGCGCACGUAGGCGGUUGUUUAAGUUGGAUGUGAAAGCCCCGGGCUCAACCUGGGAAUUGCAUUCAAAACUGGACAACUAGAGUGUGUGAGAGGGGGGUAGAAUUCCAAGUGUAGCGGUGAAAUGCGUAGAGAUUUGGAGGAAUACCAGUGGCGAAGGCGGCCCCCUGGCACAACACUGACGCUCAGGUGCGAAAGCGUGGGGAGCAAACAGGAUUAGAUACCCUGGUAGUCCACGCCGUAAACGAUGUCUACUAGCUGUUCGUGACCUUGUGUUGUGAGUAGCGCAGCUAACGCAUUAAGUAGACCGCCUGGGGAGUACGGUCGCAAGAUUAAAACUCAAAUGAAUUGACGGGGGCCCGCACAAGCGGUGGAGCAUGUGGUUUAAUUCGACGCAACGCGAAGAACCCUUACCUACUCUUGACAUCCAGAGAAGUCGGCAGAGAUGCUGAUGUGCCUUCGGGAACUCUGAGACAGGUGCUGCAUGGCUGUCGUCAGCUCGUGUUGUGAAAUGUUGGGUUAAGUCCCGCAACGAGCGCAACCCUUAUCCUUAGUGCCAGCGAUCGUCGGGACUCUAGGAGACUGCCGUGAUAAACCGAGAGGUGGGGACGACGUCAAGUCAUC